rnacentral:rRNA from 1 species
UACGUAGGCAGCAAGCGUUGUUCGGAGUUACUGGGCGUAAAGGGCGCGCAGGCGGCUCAUUUUGUCAGGCGUGAAAGCCCCGGGCUUAACCUGGGAACUGCGUUUGAUACGGAUGGGCUAGAGUUCGGGAGAGGAGAGUGGAAUUCCCAGCGUAGAGGUGAAAUUCGUAGAUAUUGGGAAGAACACCGGUGGCGAAGGCGGCUCUCUGGACCGAUACUGACACUGAGGCGCGAAAGCGUGGGGAGCAAACAGG